rnacentral:tRNA from 1 species
GCAAGGAUAGCUCAGUGGUAGAGCAACGCUCUCGUAAAGCGUAGGUCGUGGGUUCGAAUUCCAUUCCCGGCU